rnacentral:rRNA from 1 species
GAUGAACGCUAGCGGCAGGCCUAAUACAUGCAAGUCGAACGGUGUAGCAAUACACAGUGGCGCACGGGUGCGUAACACGUAUGCAACCUACCUUACAUUGGGGGAUAGCCUUUCGAGAGGGAGAUUAAUACCGCAUAAGACAGUAACUAGGCAUCUAGUAGCUGUUAAAGAUUUAUCGAUGUAAGCUGGGCAUGCGUCCAAUUAGUUAGUUGGCGAGGUAAUGGCUCACCAAGACGAUGAUUGGUAAGGGAACUGAGAGGUCAAUCCCCCACACUGGCACUGAGAUACGGGCCAGACUCCUACGGGAGGCAGCAGUGGGGAAUAUUGGGCAAUGGGCGCAAGCCUGACCCAGCCAUGCCGCGUGCAGGAAGAAGGCGUUAUGCGUUGUAAACUGCUUUUAUACAGGAAGAAACGACCCUUGCGAGGGGCAUUGACGGUACUGUAUGAAUAAGCACCGGCUAACUCCGUGCCAGCCGCCGCAGUAACAC